AUUGAACGCUGGCGGCAGGCCUAACACAUGCAAGUCGAGCGGAUGAGGAAAGCUUGCUUUUCGAUUCAGCGGCGGACGGGUGAGUAAUGCCUAGGAAUCUGCCUGUUAGUGGGGGAUAACUCGGGGAAACUCGGGCUAAUACCGCAUACGUCCUACGGGAGAAAGUGGGGGAUCUUCGGACCUCACGCUAACAGAUGAGCCUAGGUCGGAUUAGCUAGUAGGUGAGGUAAUGGCUCACCUAGGCGACGAUCCGUAGCUGGUCUGAGAGGAUGAUCAGUCACACUGGAACUGAGACACGGUCCAGAAUCCUACGGGGGGCAGCAGUGGGGAAUAUUGGACAAUGGGCGAAAGCCUGAUCCAGCCAUGCCGCGUGUGUGAAGAAGGUCUUCGGAUUGUAAAGCACUUUAAGUUGGGAGGAAGGGUAUUCACCUAAUACGUGGGUACUUUGACGUUACCAACAGAAUAAGCACCGGCUAACUCUGUGCCAGCCGCCGCCGUAAUAC
rnacentral:rRNA from 1 species